AAAUCGUCCCUUCGCCCACUUUGCUUCCCUUCAUUGAAUGGGGUUUCAUCGCCCCCAACGCGUUCAAAGGAUCACGUGGCCUAUACGGAUUGACCAUACCUCCACAGCCAAAGUUCUAUGGUUUGCAUGCCCUGCGGAAGGACCCUAGCAUGCGGUCGGAAUAGGUGCUUGGAGUUCGUCUGUCCCCAACUGUCUGCACCAGUAACGCUAGCUUGGUGUGCAACGACCGGUGGUGAGUUACUGCCCUGAUGACACAGACGGCUUCAUCGACAACGGCCCUCCCAGUCAACACCACUUCAUAUGAUGAAGUACAUUGUUUAUGAGGAUUGCAGGCUGCAGUUGUUCAAGAGAUUUCCAGUUUGCCGCCAAACAUGCAACAUAGAGAAGACCAGCAAGGGGACCUUGCAUGCAGACAUGCCCUCGCUGUGAGCAUUCCUAUAAAUGGAAUAGGGCGGACACUUGAAUAAGUAUCUUUGAGGCCAGGAGCUGAUCUACACUGCCAUGCCCAUCAAUUGGGCGCUGGCAAAGACCCCACCACCAGCCUUACCUCUUGCCUGCUCACCAACGGUCGUCGAUGGGGAGACCAGAAUUAGAAACAUGUAUGGAGCCAGCACAUGGAGACUUGCAAGAUGAUGUGAUGGAUCCUGAUCGACAGACAGGAUUCAUACUGAUGUCUCUGAAUGGAGAGAGACCUGGCACUCAACACAUCCACAAUGUGGGACUGGAGAAACAUGUAUGGAGCCAGCACAUGGAGACCUGCAAGAUUAUGUGAUGAAGUCCAGACUCAUACUUUGAUGUCUCUAAAUGGAGAGGAACCUGGCACUCUGCAUUAAAAUUUUACUAGACACAA